GCGGGAGCAUCAGUCCUGCUGUCUGGCGGGGGAGACGGGAGGCACAGAGGAAGGUAGUGUUGCACACAGAUGCACGAAGACGCCUGGAAUGUCAGCUAAAUCAUGUCUCUCUAGCAUUCAUUUCUUCCUGUUCAGCUCUUAUAGUAUCCACCUGUCUGCAUUGUAAACUAAGGUCUGUGAGAUAAUAAAAGAUAGGUAAUGAACUAAUGUGCUAGUGAGGGCCCCCUCAAUCUCCACCAGCAGCCUGGACAGACAACCGAUUCCCUUCUUUUUGCCUUAAUCUGACCCAGCACACCAAACCCUUAAAAGUGACACUUAUCUCUACAUGGAGGCCUUUAGUCUGUUUCCUCAGCGUUGGAUGAUGGGUCCUUACCCUGGGAUAUCUCAUGGAAACAAAGCAUUAAAUGAGAACUAUCGGGAAAUACGUGUUCUCAUAAGAGGGAGUAUCCAGUUCUAAAUGAUCACCCCCAUGACUACUCUUCAUUAAGUGCCAAUUGGAUGUGCUUCUAACAAACUGGUCCCUGAAAAGGUCCCGUAAGGAACUUUCAUUAAUCAAAGGGAGAGACGCCAUCCACAAUGACAGAAUAAUUUGAUAAUUAGAUAACAGAGUUACGUGGGGUGUGUGGGAAGAGUCCAGGUGGAGAAACACCUAGAUCUGGAGCAGUCAGGGCAGGGUUCAGGAGGCAGAGUUUGCAUGGGCAUUUGCACAUCUGGCAGACAGAUAAGCAGAAAAGGCCAGCAGAGGCGCAGGGGUGUGGGUGGCCCCAGAUAUUCCUGAAGUUCGAGUACAAAGAGGUGGCUGAAGCAGAAACAGGGUGACAGCAUCCACGCCACACAAGUGAUCAUGAGUGCAAGAGGCAAGAGGCAUGUUCCGGAAGCUAAGAAAAUAGAAAAGGUGUUGAUCCUGACAGAGCUGAGCUACUGAACGUCAGAACAGCUUUUUAGCUCUUGUAUGAUUAAGUGAUCAAGGUCAUUCCCUUGGUUACCAGCAGAACCAAGGCUACACCUCCCCAGGCUCUUGGAAUCCAGGUCAGCUCCAGUGCCAUUUUGGCAAAGAACGCCAACACCACUUACUUCAUUAAGAAUAUAAACACAAGGUUGAAAAAUUCACAUUGUCAUUUCGGCUGGGAGAGAGAGCAACACUAUUUGCCUCCCAACAUUGCAUUUACCUUCAGCAGCCAGCUCAGAUGGAGGGAAAGGAAGUCGAAGAUUUCGAAGCAACCCUUUGGCAGUCAGUCGUACGUGAAUGGUGGAUAAGGAGAAUUUGGGAGACAACAACAUGUCUUCAGAGAAGGUGAAAAGAUUUCGC